AUGAGCGGCGGCAGCGCCGGGGCCGGCGCGGGGCCGUCCUCACCGGCAUUGCGCCUCCGCGGGGAGGACGGGAGGGCCGAGUGGCUGCGCUUCUACGAUCUGGUUGAGGCGCAGGUGGAGGCGCUGGCCGCCGACCGCGCGCAUCUGGCGGCGACAAGGGGCGAGGGGGAGGAAGCGAUACUUCCGGCGGACAGGCUCGCCGAACUCCAAGAGGGUGAUUUGGAGGAUGUCAGAGCUUGUAGAGGCCUUCUUGCCCUUGGUAACACUGAAUCUAAGGAAGUUCAAGAUCGUCUAGAGCUUGGUGAAAACACUGGGGAUCACGAGCACAUCAUAAAAGCGUUGAGAGCAAACCUUAGAAAACUAAAGGGAGCUUUUGAGACCCUGUUGUCGAAGAAGGAUAAGGAUGUUUAUUCAGUCAAAGAUGUUCUUUUGAAUCAGUUGAGGACAAUUCAAAAGGACAAAACGCUCUUUGAGAACAAGAAACUAGAGGCAGCACAAGCUACUGAAGAAGCGAAGAAGCUUCAGCAGAAUGUACAGGCGCUGCACGCCGCAACCCAAAACAAGGACGAUGAGAUUGGCAGACUCCAAGUAGAAGCUCUUGUGGCUCAACAUAAGCUACAUGAAAUGGGUUCCUUGCUGAAGGAGAAAGAUGAAGUUAUUGAAAAACUCCGUGCAGAAAACAUCGGAUUACUUGCUGUAAAGGAUUUCGUUUGGAGUCAGUUCAAUAUAAAUGAGCAGGAGUUGCUGGACUAUGCUGUGCUUCUUAAGAACAAGGAACUGGCGGCAACACAAGCUACUGAAGCAACGCAAAAGCUUGUAAAGGAGAAUGUUGAUUAUGGAAACAAGCUAUUGAUUCUAGAGGAUAAGCUAAAGUAG
rnacentral:rRNA from 1 species